rnacentral:lncRNA from 1 species
UCUUCUAUAAAUAGAGAUCAUUCUCUCACAAUAUUUCCUAAUGUCAUUUGUAUUAAAUCAUUCACUUGUACUCACUAAAAGAGAGCUUGAACCUAUGUACUUGUGUAAACCCUUCACAAUUAAUGAGAACUCUUUUACUCCGUGGACGUAGCCAAUUUGGGUGAACCACGUACAUCUUGUGUUUGGUUCCAUGUCUCUAUCCAUUCACAUACUUAUCCACACUAGUGGCCGGAGUAAUCUAGUGAAGGUCACAAACUUAACAUUUUCUGUUGUACCAAAGUCCUCACUGAUUUUGUGCAUCAACAACUUUGUCCUUUUGUGCUUUUCAAGCUUGCGAAGCCAACACGAAGCACGAUUGCUCGAUAUGUUUGCAAACAUGCCUUAACCCAUAAACUCCAGAAUCUCCAAAAUCAGAAAACCCCAAAAACCCCAAACCCAGAAAAUCCCCAGCCAUUAGUUUUAAUUUUAACGAAAACCCCAAAUCACUAGUUUUUGAAAAAAAACACAGAAUACCCAAAAAUACAAAAUUCAUACCUUUAGCGUGUGCUUGCCUGUGUGUGGUUUUCUUGUGGCUGUCGGAGUCGAGUUGAAUGAAGUGAAAGAAGGAGGAUGCGAGAAAGAUGCAUAUUCAGGAGAUGGCACGGGAGUAAGUCUGGACUGGAAAGAUCAGAGUGAAUGAGAGAGAAGAGAAAGUUAGCCUCCAACUUAAUGCACAAUGGACGACUGAGAUUAAAACUUAGCCGAUCCAAUGCUCACCAAUUUUUUUCAAUUUAAUUUAAUAUAUAUAUAUAUAUAUAUAAUUAUAGUUUUUAGGGGUAUAAAAUUGUUAAAUUAAUAUAUAUAAUUAUUAUAGUAUUUUUUAUGGUUAUAAAAUUAUUAAAUUUGACACACCCCGACCUGGAAUGUCCACUAGGACUCCGAAUCGAGCUGUGCUGGCCGACACUUGGAAGGUGACGAAGCCAUAAAGUAUAGUGUUGUGGAAAAUGUGAACAAAUUUAAACCUAAAAGUGCCUAAAGACAAGAGUUUUGAGCGGGAAUGAACCCAUUUCACAUGCGAGGUCAGAGCAUAAGUAAAGUACAGUAGUGUGGGUAAGGAUCAUACCCUCAGAGAUAGCCACCUAUACUGAGACUCACCAAGAAUCCUCGUUGAUACGAACUUUCAUCAGCUAAACUUGGAGGGGCAAAAAACAAAAAACGUGAGUGGGCAAAAACAAAACUUUUUGAAGCCAUUUCUUUAUCCAAAAAUAAUAACCCCUCACCGUCAAAACCGUAUAAUUUCCCAGAAAAUAAGAAUACAUACGUAUAAAGAAAUCAGGCUCGAAAGUAAUGAAAACCAAAGUAUGUGCCAUGUCAAGUAUCUCAAUGAUAAAUAUGUUAGCCAGGUGAUGUAAAUCAAUAUAAAGUGAUAUAUCAGCCGGAGUCACCUAACGUGACCUAUACGGCUGAAUCUAUAGCUCAUAACCAAUUCCUGCACACGAGUCGGAACCACCUAAUGUGGUUUGUACAACAGGCUAGGUGUAAAUAAAUACGCUCAAGUGCUACGAUCACAUGAAGGCUGUGCGAAGUAUCGCAAGUCACCUACGAGUCGGAACCACCUAAUGUGGUCUGUACGAUAGGCUGGCACCUACCUUGGAUCAAAGGUGAGCGUACGGUGAACGAGGUGAACGAUCAUGUGAAGGCUAUGCCCUAGCCUCGGGCGGAGCACUAACACCGGGGUGCAGGAUAAUGAGUUCUAAAUGCAUCUAUGCAUAACCAUACACAAUGCAACCACUAUCAUCAUAAUGUACUCACCUGAAGCUCACCUGGGCUUCUGCAGCAUCAUUCCAUAUUAUGCAAAACUAUACUAAUGCAAAUACUAAGAUAUAUUGCAUCCUUGACAUGGCAUUUAAUUCGUAAAUUCAUUUAAAAACAAUUUCUGAAAAUCGUAAAGCAUAUAUACAUAUAUAUAGAAAACAAAAGCCCACUCACUUGGAGUCCACGCUACAACUCCCUACCACGAAUAUCGAGGCGUCCCGAACGAUCAGCGCCUAGAACAAUUAUCAAAUCACAUCUUAGAAUUCUUAUUAAUAGAAUAUAUUACUUACGUAAAACAAAUCCCUAAGGGCGUUCUAGAAUGAUUUGAUACCCAUUGACCAAAAGUCAACCGUCGAUCAACGAUCGAUAGUAGGGUCCACAACCCUAUGUAACUCAAUCCGGAAGAUCUGCUCCUCGGAUUUCCAAUCAGUAACUUCCAAGUAUCCACAUUAUACUUCUACAACAACAUCCUAAAAUUUCAUUAUGAUCCAACGGUUGGAUCUCCGCCAAUUGCAAAUUCAAGUGGCGGUGAACGUUUUAUUUUACGAACUUACAAAUCCAAUUCGGGAAAAUCCGUGCAUCAGAAUCCCAAUCCAUAAGUUUCUAUGAUCCUCAAAUAUUAUGUACUACAACAUAUUAAAGUUUGGUGUCGAGCCAACAGUCGGAUCGUCGAUUCAUAUUUUUACUAAGUAACGCACCUUAAUCAAACUAGAUUCACAAUAAUCAAAUCACAUCAUAUGGAUAUCAUCUGAGAUCAAUAUAUCGAUUUAACGUAAAAUAGCAUUGGCGG